UCAUAUACGUUGCUAAAGCGCGGAUGUUUAUGUAUUUAUGGAAAAUUUAAAGGUUCGAGGAUACAUAGGCCACGCAUAUUAUACAAACAUGUGUAAAAUAUUCAAACUAAAGCGAUAUUUAAUAAGCAAAGCAAAUCUUCGCUUAAAUUCUAUUUUACAAAUCUGCAUAAAUUCCUAUUUCUCAAAGAAAGGAAAAAAAAGGAAGAAAAAGAAAAGAAGAAAAAAUGUAUAGCGCAUAUCCAUAGAAUCACUAUUUUGCAAAAAAACGAAUGCAUUACGUACAUGGAGCAAAUGAAAUGUAAACAAAUUACUAUUCUUCCCAGCUACAGCUCCCUUUAAAAACUUUCUACAGAAACAGAUUCUCCCUGCAGGUACGACGAGAACGAACUAGCUCCGAGGAAAGUAAUUUUCUUCUACCUUCGUUCUUUUUCGAGUUGGUCGGAAUUUUCUCGUCCUAUGAAUCUCAGCCUGUGAAACGUUUCAUCCGUUUUGUGAGAGGACCGAUGCGAUAUAAAGAGACUUAACGCAGGCGUUCGAUCAGGACACGCCAGAACGAGAAUCCGUGUCAGUUCCUCCAAAGAUAAAUCCAUAGAGAUAAGUUUCCCUUUGGAAAAUAUGAGCUUUUCCUUCCUCGAGCAAUCAGAUCUUAUAUCUACAACUUCUUUGAAAGCAAACUAAAGAUUCAAAGUACAAGAAUAUCGACCCUUUGAUAACAACAUUAAUAAACGAGCUCGCGUUUCCCUGCUAAUAGAAAUUCUAAAAGUCUUCGCUUUUUAAAACAGACUACGACGGAACCAUCGUAGAAAUCUGCGAUACAACUCGUACGAAACGACUAUAUACGAUACAGUGAGUGUUUACAAAUUUAGAAGCUCAAACUUUGCCACUAAAUUCUUCUUAUUACUAUAGAACGUCAUAAUUGGAUUGCGAAUGUUUAUGAAUUCAUUUAAAUAUUCAAGAGUCAAAGCAGAAUAUACGUAGUGGCAACAAAUCGAUCGAAUAUCUCCUAGAACACGUUGUCAAAUUUUUAUUAUUAGAUCGCAAAUAUUUAUGCAUUUAUGGAAGAUUUAAAGAUGCAAAUAUUUACAGAAUGCGCGUAGUAUCAAAAGAUCUAUAGAAUAUAUUGACAAAGUAUGGCUGUUACGUUCGGGACAUUGCGCGUAUAUGGAAAACUGGUGUCGAAAUUCCUGCAUACUAUACGAGACUGGCUCCAUCGGAAGUCCGAGUUACCUGCGACAACAGACAGGUGGCUUGCGUAAGGCAGAAAAGGAUUUCGCGCUGGUUCGCAUCAACGCGAGUCGCGUAAUCGCAAUUAAUGCGACGCUCGCGGUAAUGGUCGUUCUCAUUAUCAUCGCGAAUGGUGAAGGGAGAGAGGAGAUCGGUGCAUAUGUACAUUUGAAAUACGAAGCGGGACGGUAGGCGGGACAAUCGAUGACGGUACUAUAAUUAAAGUAUCCUUCGAUAUUUCGCUCGGGAACGGACCAGAGUAACAUCACGUGUCGUCGAUGUCAAGGCGUCUUCGUCGAGCAGUGAACGGAACGAGGCGACGUACACUACCGCUUCAAAGUAUCCGGACACUUGCUCGUUUCUACAAGAUAUAAUAAUAUGCGUACUUAAUAGCUAAGUGACCAUGUGUAUUGGCAAGCGCAUACUUUUAUUUUUCAACGAAGCGUCGUUUUAUCGCGUCUAAAAUACUGCCAAAUGAUAUACUUAAUGAAUAAUGAAUAGUAAAUGAAUUACUGUACAAACGUUGUAAGAGAUACAAUGACGUGGAAAUAUCUUUCGUAGUCAGCGUAUAGACCAAGUGACUCCGUAGGAAACGUAAUAAGUAUCGUAUUGUUUCUAUCGAUUAUUUCCUCGUUAACUCCUCGAUAAAAUUCAUGUACUGUUACUACGGACCAAACUAUCGGAUACUUAUGAGCCAUAGUGUACGAAGACAGAGGGGGAGAGAGCAAGAUGGAACAACGGAGAGGAAGUUUAUAGUGCACAGCAAGAUAAAAACGAAGCGACCGUGAACGUGUACGAGGAAUUGCCGCGAGCGUCACUAAGCUAUUAGCUUUGUGUUGGCCGUUUUAUUCGCAGAUCGUGCGAAAGCUGCGCUCUUAACAUUGGCCUGAUGGCAGGCGGAUUCACCUAGCCUUAAUUUAGAAUCUAGAUGAAAUUCGGCGCAGGUAUCCAAGAAACUCGACAUCGUUAUUUAGAACUAUGUACGAACGAAUAACCGCGAGUCAUCGGCCGGCGUAUGUCGCGUGUAUGCGCGGGCGUAAACGACACGCGGCCGCCGUAAUACGAGAACGUGGAACGAGGUUGUCUCUUGGCGAAUCCUUAAUUAAUAAAAACGCUGGAUAUCGAGGAAAACAAUCGUGAACAAGCAUGAACGAUCGUGCUUGUUGUCGGUCUACGUGUUGUUAUAAAUAGCCGUAACGUUCGAGGCAAAUUAUUAAUUAUAACACGUUAGCCAGUGCUCGAGCGGACGAGCAUGGCUAUCACGGUGCAAGGUUCAAGGGAAACCGCAUUCUUCGAACGGCAAAGACGAAAAAACCUAUUAGUAAACGAUAUACACGCACCUCCCGUUUCGUUUUGUUUCGUUUCGUAGAUUCUAGAUUAGACGUUCGCGAGGAGAAAAGCCCGGGGAACGCAGAAACAGAAAACUAAGAAACGAAACGAAACGGUGACAAUAAGACCUCGUGCAAUGUGAUAAUUAUACAACGCGAGUAAUAAUUGCCCACCAGCAUCGUGUAAUGCCAUUUGCAAAAUAUCAAUGAGAGUGAAGUGUUUGUGAAUUCGAUAAGGGACGAGCAGUGAAAUACGUAAUAUGUGAAAGAAAAAUGAAGUAAGUUAUUUUGUAAAUGUAUGUGUUAUUUUGUAUGUGUAAAUGUAUUAAAAUAACGCAAUAAAUAAUGCUGUAAGUGUAACGAGCAUAGAAAUUAUAUUAACAUACGAUUCAUAUUUUUCCCUCUGAAAGAAGAAUAAAGCGUAUUCUCUGGGAUAAGGAAAACUUCUUCUUCUAUAGCUAUAAGAUCAGCAUAACAAAACAUGUUAGCACACGAGAGUUGAACUUACGAUACGAUAAUACGAAAUUCAUGAUAGUCGAGUCCCAAUAAUAACAGUGGCGAUGAAAUUUUAAAAUAUUCCGUAUAACGUACAUACCUAAUAUACGUAUUCUUACAAGAUUUCUACAACUGUUCGAACAUUCUCGCGAGCCUCUGUAUAUCCGUAUAAUAAGUAACAGAUAUGGUUCUGUUGUAUUUCUCUGGCCGCAUAUGGACGUAAAAUUGUGAUUAAUGGAGUCCGAAAAACGCUGUUUAGAGAUUCAACUUGUCCAGCUCGCUGGCCGAUCGGACGCGCCGUGGCUUUCCAAUUUUAGCGUCGCAAGAAUUGUAUGGCAUAACGAUAUAUUUUUAGUCUGUACAGAGUACAUACGGUGUGUAGCGUGUACGGGCCGCUUCGAGUGUUUCCCCCCGCGGCGCCGCGCACUGUUCACAGGCCACGCUGUAAACACAACGACAGGACAGGCACCGAUUCUCUGUCUGCGACGACACGUGCUCGAAACAGGUACGCCCGCGAGAGCUCAUUCAUCCAACCAACACCGUUCUACGCUCCUCCUCUGUCCGUGUGUAUUUAUAUUACCGGCCGAAUUACGAUUCGGUGGACGAAUUUGAUCAACACCGCAGCCGUGUU